GCCCUAAUCUGGGCCUGUUGCUUUCCAGACCUGCAUACCUUCAUCAGCCUUGGGCUUCUCUUCACUGACCUCCUGGAUGAAAGGUCAGGUCUCCUGAAUGAGAAAGCAGAGAAGGAACUCCAUGAUCCGGUAAACUGUGAAGAAGGCUGAGCGCUGGAGAAUUGAUGCUUUUGAACCUUGGUGUUGGAGAAGACUCUUGAGAGUCUCUUGGACUGCAAGGAGAUCCAACCAGUCCAUCCUAAAGGAGAUCAGCCCUGGGAUUUCUUUGGAGGGAAUGAUGUUGAAGCUAAAACUCCAGUACUUUGGCCACCUCAUGCGAAGAGUUGACUCAUUGGAAAAGACUCUGAUGCUGGGAGGGAUUAGGGGCAGGAGGAGAAGGGGAUGACAGAGGAUGAGACGGCUGGAUGGCAUCACUGACUCGAUGGACGUGAAUCUGAGUGAACUCCGGGGGUUGGUGACGGACAGGGAGGCCUGACGUGCUUCGAUUCAUGGGGUCGUAGAGUCGGACACGACUGAGUGACUGAACUGAACUGAACUGAACUGAGACUGACCCUCACUGUUACUGUUGCCUUCUUCUUUGGGUUGUGGCAGAAUUGGAGAGCCCAGAAUAUAAGGAAAAGCCAGUGUAUCCAUUACACAAAUGUUGACAUUUUCCUUCUUUUAAAAAUCAGUUUAAACAUUUGUUUUAGGUGGACCACUUUUUUUAAGUCUUUACUAAGUUUCUUACAAUUUUGCUUCUGUUUCCUGUUUUGUGGUUUUGGCCCUGAGGCGUGUGGGAUCUUAGCUCUCCCACCAGGAUCGAACUUACACACUUG
ensembl:lncRNA